AUUGAACGCUGGCGGCAGGCCUAACACAUGCAAGUCGAGCGGUAACACAGAGGAGCUUGCUCCUUGGGUGACGAGCGGCGGACGGGUGAGUAAUGCCCGGGGAUCUGCCCGAUAGAGGGGGAUAACUACGGGAAACUGUAGCUAAUACCGCAUAAUGUCUACGGACCAAAGUGGGGGCUCUUCGGACCUCAUGCUAUCGGAUGAACCCGGGUGGGAUUAGCUAGUUGGUGAGGUAAUGGCUCACCAAGGCGACGAUCUCUAACUGGUUUGAGAGAAUGACCAGUCACACUGGAACUGAGACACGGUCCAGACUCGUACGGGAGGCAGCAGUGGGGAAUAUUGCACAAUGGGCGCAAGCCUGAUGCAGCCAUGCCGCGUGUGUGAAGAAGGCCUUCGGGUUGUAAAGCACUUUCAGCGGGGAGGAAGGGUCACUAGUUAAUGCCUAGUGGCAUUGACGUUACUCGCAGAAGAAGCACCGGCUAACUCCGUGCCAGCCGCCGCGGUAA
rnacentral:rRNA from 1 species